AUUUAUGUAGUUUAAAUAAAACAUUACAUUUUCACUGUAAAAAUAAAAUAUUCAUUUUUAUAAAUA
rnacentral:tRNA from 1 species